rnacentral:rRNA from 1 species
UACAGAGGUCCCAAGCGUUGUUCGGAUUUACUGGGCGUAAAGGGUGCGUAGGUGGCGGGGUAAGUCUGGUGUGAAAGCUCCGAGCUCAACUCGGAAAAGCAUUGGAAACUAUCCCGCUGGAGGGUCGGAGGGGAGACUGGAAUUCUCGGUGUAGCAGUGAAAUGCGCAGAUAUCAGGAGGAACACCGGUGGCGAAGGCGGGUCUCUGGGCCGAUAUUGACGCUGAGGAGCGAAAGCGUGGGGAGCGAACAGG